rnacentral:tRNA from 1 species
AUACUGAAAGUAUUCACUUCGUACAGCUGCCUUCCAAGCAGAAAGGCCCUCGGGUCAGUAUAC